rnacentral:rRNA from 1 species
UACGUAGGGUGCAAGCGUUAAUCGGAAUUACUGGGCGUAGAGCGUGCGCAGGCGGUUUUGUAAGUCUGUCGUGAAAUCCCCGGGCUCAACCUGGGAAUGGCGAUGGAGACUGCAAGGCUAGAGUUUGGCAGAGGGGGGUAGAAUUCCACGUGUAGCAGUGAAAUGCGUAGAUAUCGAGAGGAACACCUGCGGCGAAGGCGGGUAGCUGGGCCGACACUGACGCUGAUGCGCGAAAGCCAGGGGAGCGAACGGG